UGGAAAAAGCUUUCUCCCUCCAUGCAUACAUAACAUGAAAUAUAUGAUUUAGGCAAUUGAAUGUAGCAUAGAAAUAAAAAUAAUUGAAGACGCAUGUUUUUUGACAGCUUGGAUUGAACCAGUACAACUAUCUUCUGUGAUAACUGCAAAAUCACGUUUUUCCCUACAGUGUCCCUUCACUUCCCAGUGAUCUGAAGUAUAUCUCAGAAGCACAGGUCAGAGCUGCAUUUGGCUCAUUGGCCUCCGCUUGUGACAAAAUCCUUGGAAACGCUUGACAGAGAGCUCUGUCAAGCGUUGUCCUUCCCUACGCAGGAAAAGAGCUUCUUUUGUGAAUAGUUGUGAAUUCAUUAAUGCCAGGUUUCUACCACUAAAACUCGGUUGUUAAGGUCCAUGGGAAAAGUGAAGACAAAGGUGAGGAAGCUUCUGAUGGGAGUCCAGUAUUAUAUAUUAAGUUAUGAUCCAGAUCCCUCUCUGAUUUGAUACUGAACACAGCAGUUAAUUUAUUCACAAGUGAUUGGUGAAGAUUCCCCUCUCUGGCCCUGAACUACCAGUGGCAAAACACAAUAGUUUUCCCAGUAAGCCCUAUCUAAGCUAGAAAUAAAAAUGACACCAGUGAAAGGUGUGUGGCUCAACACAGAGCAAAUUAAAAGGUUGCUAUAAGUUUUGUUUGCAUCAGGCCACUCCAAAAUCAUCUGCCUAUAAUGUAGCAAUGUUCUAGGAAGAGCCUAUACAGCCGCUGUUGAACGGAGAAGAACUACAUUUUCACACAGCUGUAAUGAACAGGUUAGAAAACUUAAUUAUAUGCAUUUGAUUCCUUCUUUCCAUGUGACUUUUUUUCUCAGAUCAGUUUGAAAAUAGUACAGAAAAUCUUCUGUCUGUCAUUCCAAAAUUGGGUUUCAAACCAUGCGUCAGCAGGAAAGCUGUAGUUCUCAUAUUUUCAGGAGUAUGUCCUCCCUGCCUUUACAACACAGGUGACAAAAAAGCUUAAAACCUCAACUAUUUUUGUUCUGAAUCAUUAGAGUAUGCCAAAUAAUCUGUGAUGUAACAAUUACUAUAGCAACUAUUCACUUUGGCUCAAAAACUGAAGUAAACAGUUGACACAUCAUAUUUCACAUGCUAGGCAAGGCAAUUUUAGCAUAAUGUAGAAAUAUUAAUACAUUCUAUGGAAACUGAGCAAUAUUCAAUCAGGUACAUGUGACAGACUACUGUAGGCUGAGAAUAAUUUUGAUAACAGGAUAUUUAAAGUAUAUUAGUUAGCCUCUGUUUAACUGUAAUUAAAUACUAUACAUAAUUAAGCUGAAUUAAUCUAAUUAGACUUCCAACUGACAAGGGUUUCCAGUUGGCUGAAGUUUUGCAGGGCCCAUUUUGUACAUGCCAGUAAACAUUAACCUUUUCUUUGAGCAGUUGACCCUUAAAAAGAUGCCCCACUAAGAGACCGUAUCAUAUACAGUAUAGUCUAACCAUAAUCCUGACUGCUGAAAGGUCAAGAAUUUCCAUCAUCUUUCAAUGUAACUAAUAUCUUAGGGAGAAUUUUCUGUGUUUCUCAAGCAAAACCAUGUUUGGUGAGCUUCCUCUUCUUUGUUUCUAUUUUCUGAAUCUUGAAUUAUUAAUUGCAUAUAUGGUAAAGCUGAAGGAGGUCCAAGAAGAUAUUCUGCACUUCAGACAGGAUUUAAAUUUUUCCAUACAGAAUGGUAUUCUCAAACUGAGCCAAAUUCUGUGCUAUUCAGUGGGAAUAUUGUUCAGUUGUGAACAGCAGAAUUUGCCCAUGUAUAUAUACAGAUCUGUAUAAUAUAUACACACAACUAUUUAUAUACAUACAUCUAUAUGUAUGUAUGUUUAUGUAUACAGUCUAUAUCUAUAUUCUAAAAGUCUGUAUGAAAGACUAUUCUAAGCAGCUGUUUAGAAAUUGAAAUGACCAGUUAUUUUGUUUACCAUCAGGCCACUCAACAUUCUCCCGUAAGUAGAAAUUUUUAUCGUUUUCUAUGGUUAAGCUCUCAAACUUCAUUUUAGGUCAAAUAAAGCCUGUGUUUCUUGGUGGAAAAGGCACAUCAAUGGAACCAGGGGCACUAUGAAGCACUGUUCUCAAGGCACAACAUUAAUAGCUUUAAUUAAUUGCAUGAAAGGGUAGACUGUCUAAGCAGAGGUUUCAGGAAUUUAUGUAUCUCAAGCACAAAAACGUAUCCAGGUAAGGAAAUACGAUAUGUGUGGCAUGCUGGGCACUGAGCUGGGUGCCAGACGCAGGAGUGUCUUGCUGGCUCUGUUUCUGUUUUUUUUUUAUCUGAGACAAGUCAUCUUGCUCUUCCAUACCUUGAUUUCCUAAUUAAUUUUUAAUCUUCCAUGUUUAAUUAGGAUGUCUUUCUUUCAGGGUAAAGAUUGUAUUUAAUCAUGUGUUUGAACACUGUGCAGGACUUAGAUCCCAAGUGAAACAUGAGUGUUCUUGCAUUUCCUUAACAAAUGGCCCAAGAAAAUUGCCUUCCAAACAUGCAAUAACUAUGAGGUGGUGAUCUGCUUGGCAAUCAGGCGCAUGGAACGUGUUCAAAAGCCCUUAACAGGAAUCAAGUGCUAAUUAAAAGGAAAAGAGGAAAGCAAUGAAUGCUGCAAUGAUUUUACCCAUAGACUUGAGAAAGCACAAAUGAAGAUUCAUUGAAACUGUAUUUUUCUGGGCUACUACAAGCAGAAAAAGAGAGAAAAUAUUUAACCAUCUUCUCAGACAUCUGCAGUUGGUUUCAGUUGGCGAAUGAUAGCUUUGGUUGCAACUUGGCCUAAAUGGAAGACUUCAGACAUGAAGCCCUGGAGUUCUCUUCAAUGACAAAGGAGAACUUGAUCAUGAUCAAGGGACUGAAAAAACCCAGAAUGACUGAUGUGCUGCUAGAAGAUUUCAAGAAAAACAGCCACAUGCUUCAGUAAGGCGCCAGUGUGUGCUAAAAUGGAGUGACUUGAAAAAGGGUUAAUAAUCUGCUUUAAACUAUUUUUACUGUUUUUAAUGUAUGAACACCUAAUAACCAAGAUGAGAUCAGGCCUCAUUGCACAGAGUGCUAUAGAAAGGCUUCCAGCAUAUUGCAAGUUAAACAAACAAACAAAAAGAUCAAAGGAAAAACAGAGCUGCAGCAAUGUGAAGUGAGUUGCUCAAGGUCACUCAACAGGUUAGUAGCAGGACUGGAAAUUGAGGACUGGAGGCCCCCUAGAAUGCUUUAUCUGCAAAACAUCCUCAAUUCCAACUAUCAUACAAGCCUCUUAAAUCAGGGCUUCAUGCUCAUCAUCCCCAAGGUGAUAAAGUGAUAAGUCUUCCUUUAAAAACUAGAAAUACUUGAUCCUUUCAUGGAGAGCAGCAAGGCUUUUGAGAGUGUAAUAUUUCAAUGCAAAUAGGCUGUAGCUAUAAGAAUGUAAGAGACAGAUUCCUCACAGUAAGCAACAAUAGGUCAGCACACUGUGCAAUGGGAUAGGAUUAUAAUUUCCUGUGUACACACAAAAAAACUAAUACAGAUGUGACUCCUUUUACCAUGAUCAGGCCCAGACUAUAACAGAUCCUGUUUGUCUGCUCUUGCUUAGGCUC